CGUCUUUUGGUAUGACGUGGUCGGGGAUCGAACCCGCGACCUUCCGCUCUCCGGGCGGACGCUCUAACCACUACACCACGGAGGCCAAUCCAAAAGAAAAUGUAUCUUGUCUUCCUAACAAUGACAGAGCGGACAAAUUGUCUCACACAGGGGGUUGGGUUUUUUGUUGUAACGACCUGUUUCUAUACGUAAUUGAAGAUUUCCGCAGCGUAGUUUAGUCAGGUUACUUCUCUUAGCUCUGUUGAUGAUUCGUAAGUAUGGCUCAGGAUGUCGAUCUUUCUUGAAUAAUCUGUGGGUUCGAAGCUUAUUUCCAUUUACUUUGUUCUUGUCGUUCAACAUUUCCGUACACCACAUUUCCUCAUCUAGCUUCAUUAAAAAUCUUUUCAUUCAUUACGAGAUCCUGAUACAAAAUGUACGGAAAGACAAACUAAAGGUUUAAACUAUAGAAGAAAAUAAACAAUACAAGUAAGCAUGUGUCGGAGUGUAGGUUCCAUAUGAACAGAACUGACGGUCGAAGACGUGUCUACCGACGGCGUGGGGGCGGACGGCACGUUGUUGCAUUCAGGAAACGGAACCAUAUGGUGGAGGGAGUGUGACGGUUUGGGGUGACAUUUGCGGGAACACCAAGACCGACCUCGUUAUCAUCAAUGGCAACCUGACAGCCCUGACAGACAUGCUUUACAUACACCUUCGUUAUGCAAAUUAAAUGUUCAUAUCUA